AACAAAUCAAAUGAUAAAUAGGCUCGCUUCUUGCCUCAAGCGCCAUUUUCAUCGCCAUGAGGGUGACGUUUACCGAAUUAACCCGCUAUAAGAGCGGGUUCAACGGCGGAAUUCAAAGGCGGAUUUCAAAGGCUGAGUUGAAGACUGAGUCCUAAGGCUGAGUUUUGAGACUGAGUUCAAAGGCUCAAUUUAAGGCCGGAACUCCAGACCAGAUGCUCAGGUCAUGAUUGCUCAAGACUAACACAUCACGACCGACUCUCAAUGAAGAAGAAAGAAGAAUGGAGACAGAAAUCUUCAGAGAGUGUCAGGGUGAUUGCUAUGAAAGAUACGUAUAAGAAGUUAUUUUUGUAUGUGUCGAGUUAUUAUGUGAUUUAAUAUACAGUUUAAGGCUUG
rnacentral:lncRNA from 1 species